rnacentral:tRNA from 1 species
AUUUAUAUAGUAUAAAAAUUAUACCUGACUUCCAAUUAGGAGAUCUAAUAAUAUUAGUAUAAAUA